UUUUUUUUUUUGUAAGUUUUUAAAUAUUGGUGUUGCUGGACCAUAAACAUCUAUUUUUCUAUGUUUAUAAUUUAUACAUUUGUAUAAUAAUUACUUUGAGUAUUCAUGUAUUUAUACAGGAACUGAUCGAAAAUUGGAAGUCCAUACUUUAUCACAUUACAGGUGUGCACAGUUGGUUUAAAGAAGGGAAAGCAGAAAAAAUGUGUACACAAUGAUCUCAGUCCAGAACAGCAACGCAGAAAAAAAAUGGCUUGGAAAAGACUCACGUGCCUUCCACACACUGCAGAGUCCUUGUCCUGGACAAAGGACUUGAAAAGGAUUUGAGGCAAAUGGCUCUUUUCAAACACACUGGACAACUGGAGGUGUUUCAUUCUGUCCUACUGAAAUACUGCCCAAAGAACCUGCAUUUUCAUUAUGCGUCCAUGGUUGCACGAACACAACUCGCUAUCCUUGACCAUAAUGAAAAUGUAGGUCGUCAGCAAGCAACAACCACUACUGGUGCAUCUCGGUACAAAGUGGUUUU